AGGGGAGGCUGAUGGUGAGGCACUCAGAGUCUCAGGAAAAAAGGAUCUAAACAGGCAGUAGAUCACUGCUCCACACAACUCCAUCCAGAUUCAUCUCCUGAGGUGGGAAUCCAUCAAACAAGCCACCAAGAGAUGAAGAGAGACAGAGCGAGAGGAGGAGAGAGGGAGAGGGGGAGAGAGAGAGGGAGGGGGAGAGAGAGAGGAAGAGAGAGAGAGAGAGAAAGAGAGAGAGGGGGAAAUAGAGGGAGCGAGAGAGAAGGCGAGAGAGAGAUAGAGGAGAUGGACUGAGAGCCCCAGUCCUUUAUGGUACCCAUUGACAGAGAGUGAUGGGGCUGGAUAUUUUAGAUAGAUCUCAGCAGAAUCUGCUCCCAUGGAAAUGGAACUGGCAGCUGGAGAGAGAGAGAGGCCUUAAAAGUACUGUGGAUGGUGGAUAGUUAUGAGCGUCCCGGACUAGAGCCUAUAGAUCACAGACAGAUUGAUAUGUUUAUGUGUAUAACUGGCCUAUAUCAGCUGAUGGUAGAUGGGAGGAGGAGGAGGAGGUGGAGGAUGGGGAGCAGAUGGAGGAGAUUGAGGAAGAGUAGGAUGGGGAUAAGGAGGAUGAGGUGGAGGAGAAGGUGGAGGAGGAGGAUGAGGAGGAGGAUGAGGUGGAGGAGGAGGAUGAGGUGGAGGAGGAGGAGGAGCUGGAGGAAGAUGGGGAAGAGGAGGUGGAGGAUGGGGAGGAGGUGGAACAGGUGGAUGGGGAGGAUGGGGAGGAGGAGGAUGGGGAGGAGGUGGAUGGGGAGGAAGUGGAGGAGAUUGAGGAGGAGGAGGUGGAUGGGGAGGAGGAGGACGAGGAGCUGGAGGAGGAUGGGGAGGAGGAGGUGGAGGAGGUGGUGGAGGUUGAGGAGGAGGAGGUGGAGGAGGAGGAGCUGCAGGAGGAGGUGGAGGAGGAGCUGGAGGAGGAUGGGGAGGAGGAGGUGGAGGAGGUGGUAGAGGUUGAGGAGGAGGAG
rnacentral:lncRNA from 1 species